rnacentral:rRNA from 1 species
AGUGAACGCUGGCGGUAGGCCUAACACAUGCAAGUCGAACGGCAGCACAGUAAGAGCUUGCUCUUACGGGUGGCGAGUGGCGGACGGGUGAGGAAUACAGCGGAAUCUACUUUUUCGUGGGGGAUAACGUAGGGAAACUUACGCUAAUACCGCAUACGACCUACGGGUGAAAGCAGGGGAUCUUCGGACCUUGCGCGAUUGAAUGAGCCGAUGUCGGAUUAGCUAGUUGGCGGGGUAAAGGCCCACCAAGGCGACGAUCCGUAGCUGGUCUGAGGGGAGGAUCAGCCACACUGGAACUGAGACACGGUCCAGACUCCUACGGGAGGCAGCAGUGGGGAAUAUUGGACAAUGGGCGCAAGCCUGAUCCAGCCAUACCGCGUGGGUGAAGAAGGCCUUCGGGUUGUAAAGCCCUUUUGUUGGGAAAGAAAAGCAGCAGGUUAAUACCCCGCUGUUCUGACGGUACCCAAAGAAUAAGCACCGGCUAACUUCGUG